rnacentral:rRNA from 1 species
CCUGAGUACGACGGAGCACGUGAAAUUCCGUCGGAAUCUGGGAGGACCAUCUCCUAAGGCUAAAUACUCUCUAGUGACCGAUAGUGAACCAGUACCGUGAGGGAAAGGUGAAAAGUACCCCGGAAGGGGAGUGAAAGAGAACUUGAAACCGUGUGCUUACAAGUAGUCAGAGCCCGUUAAUGGGUGAUGGCGUGCCUUUUGUAGAAUGAACCGGCGAGUUACGAUCUGAUGCAAGGUUAAGCAGAAAAUGUGGAGCCGUAGCGAAAGCGAGUCUGAAUAGGGCGAAUGAGUAUUUGGUCGUAGACCCGAAACCAGGUGAUCUACCCUUGGUCAGGUUGAAGUUCAGGUAACACUGAAUGGAGGACCGAACCGACUUACGUUGAAAAGUGAGCGGAUGAACUGAGGGUAGCGGAGAAAUUCCAAUCGAACUUGGAGAUAGCUGGUUCUCUCCGAAAUAGCUUUAGGGCUAGCCUCAAGUGAUGAUUAUUGGAGGUAGAGCACUGUUUGGACGAGGGGCCCCUCUCGGGUUACCGAAUUCAGACAAACUCCGAAUGCCAAAUAAUUUAACUUGGGAGUCAGAAUGUGGGUGAUAAGGUCCAUAUUCGAAAGGGAAACAGCCCAGACCACCAGCUAAGGUCCCAAAAUAUAUGUUAAGUGGAAAAGGAUGUGGCGUUGCCCAGACAACUAGGAUGUUGGCUUAGAAGCAGCCAUCAUUUAAAGAGUGCGUAAUAGCUCACUAGUCGAGUGACACUGCGCCGAAAAUGUACCGGGGCUAAACAUAUUACCGAAGCUGUGGAUUGUCCUUUGGACAAUGGUAGGAGAGCGUUCUAAGGGCGUUGAAGCAUGAUCGCAAGGACAUGUGGAGCGCUUAGAAGUGAGAAUGCCGGUGUGAGUAGCGAAAGACGGGUGAGAAUCCCGUCCACCGAUUGACUAAGGUUUCCAGAGGAAGGCUCGUCCGCUCUGGGUUAGUCGGGUCCUAAGCUGAGGCCGACAGGCGUAGGCGAUGGAUAACAGGUUGAUAUUCCUGUACCACCAUUAUUCGUUUUAAGCGAUGGGGGGACGCAGUAGGAUAGGCGAAGCGUGCUGUUGGAGUGCACGUCCAAGCAGUGAGAUUGAGUGUUAGGCAAAUCCGGCACUCUUAAGAUUGAGCUGUGAUGGGGAGAGGAACUUGUUCCUCGAGUCGUUGAUUUCACACUGCCGAGAAAAGCCUCUAGCUAGAAUAACGGUGCCCGUACCGCAAACCGACACAGGUAGUCAAGAUGAGAAUUCUAAGGUGAGCGAGCGAACUCUCGUUAAGGAACUCGGCAAAAUGACCCCGUAACUUCGGGAGAAGGGGUGCUCUUUGAGGUUCACGCUUCGAAGAGCCGCAGUGAAUAGGCCCAAGCGACUGUUUAUCAAAAACACAGGUCUCUGCUAAACCGUAAGGUGACGUAUAGGGGCUGACGCCUGCCCGGUGCUGGAAGGUUAAGAGGAGUGGUUAGCG